rnacentral:rRNA from 1 species
ACGAACGCUGGCGGCAUGCCUAACACCUGCAAGUCGAACGAGACCUUCGGGUCUAGUGGCGCACGGGUGCGUAACGCGUGGGAAUCUGCCCUUAGGUUCGGAAUAACUCCCCGAAAGGGGUGCUAAUACCGGAUAAUGUCUUCGGACCAAAGAUUUAUCGCCUUUGGAUGGGCCCGCGUUGGAUUAGCUAGUUGGUAGGGUAAAAGCCUACCAAGGCGACGAUCCAUAGCUGGUCUGAGAGGAUGAUCAGCCACACUGGGACUGAGACACGGCCCAGACUCCUACGGGAGGCAGCAGUGGGGAAUAUUGGACAAUGGGCGAAAGCCUGAUCCAGCAAUGCCGCGUGAGUGAUGAAGGCCUUAGGGUUGUAAAGCUCUUUUACCCGGGAUGAUAAUGACAGUACCGGGAGAAUAAGCUCCGGCUAACUCCGUG